CCGAUCUAUAACAACUUAUAUACAGUGCCUUCGGAAAGUAUUCAGACCCCUUGACUUUAUCCACAUUUUGUUAGGUUACAGCCUUAUUCUAAAAUUGAUUAAAUCCUCAUCAAUUUACACACAAUACCCUAUAAUAACAAAGACAAAACAGUGUUUUAUACAUUUUUGCUAAUUUAUAAAAAAUUUAAAUGAGAUAUUACAUUUGCAUAAGUAUUCAGACCCUUAAACUCUUAGUUGAAGCACCUUUGGCAGCGAUUACAGCCUCAAGUCUUCUUGGGUAUGACUCUACAAGCUUGGUACACCUGUAUUUGGGGAGUUUCUCCCAUUCUUCACUUUAGAUCCUCUGUAGAUCCUCUCAAGGACAUUCAGAGACUUGUCCCAAAGCCAGUCCUGCGUUGUCUUGGCUGCUUAGCGUCGUUGUCCUGUUGGAAGGUGAACCUUCACCCCAGUCUGAGGUCCUAAGCGUUCUGGAGCAGGUUUUCAUCAAGGAUCUCCGUUCAUCUUUGCCUCGAUCCUGACUAGUCUCCUAGAUCCUGCCACUGGAAAACAUCGCCACAGCAUGAAGCUGCCACCACCAUGCUUCACCGUAGGGAUGGUGCCAGGUUUCCUCCAGACGUGAAGCUUGCUAUUAGUUCAAUCUUGGUUUCAUCAGAUCAGAGAAUCUUGUUUCUCAUGGUCUGAGAGUCUUUAGUGGUCAUUUGGCAAACUCCAAGCGGGCUGUCAUGUGCCGUUUACUGAGGAGUGGCUUCCGUCUGGCCACUCUACCAUAAAGGCCUAAUUAGUGUACUGCUGCAGAGAUGGUUGUCCUUCUGCAAGCUUCUCCCAUCUCCAGAGAGGAACUCUAGAGCUCUGUCAGAGUGACCAUUGGGUUCUUCGUCACCUCCCUGAUCAUGCCCUUUCUCCCCCGAUUGCUUAGUUUUGCCGAGUGGCCAGCUCUAGGAAGAGUCUUUGGUGGUUCUUAACUUCUUCCAUUUCAGAAUGAUGGAGGCCACUGUGUUGUUGGGGACCUUCAAUGCUGCAGAAAUGUUUUGGUACCCUUCCUAGAUCUGUGCCUCGACACAAUCCAGUCUCUGGAGCUCUACUGACAAUUCCUUCCAACUCAUGGCUUGAUAUUUCCUCUGACAUGCACUGUCAAUUGUGGGACCUUAUAGAGACAGGUGUGUGCCUUUCCAAAUCAUGUCCAAUCAAUUGGAUUUUACACAGGUGGACUCCAAUCAAGUUGUAGAAACAUCUCAAGGAUGAUGAAUGGAAACAGGAUACAGCUGAGCUCAAAUCCGAGUCUCGUAGCAAGGGUCUGAAUACUUCUGUAAACAAUGUAUUUCUGUUCUAUUUCUUUCAUAUUUUUUUUUACUGCAACAUUUCCUCUCAGCUCCAUGGCAAAAUAUGUAGAAUCGUUGGAAAAGUGCUUUAAAAUUGCAACAUUUUCUCUCAGCUCCAUGGCAGAAUGUGUAGAAUUGCAGGAAUUUAACUUUAAAAUGGCAAAAAUGUAUCUCGGGUCUAUGAACAAAUACUGAGAAUUGCCAUAACUACUGUAUCUAUAACUACUAUCUGAACACUACCAGGUACAAUAACUACUGUAUCUAUAACUACUAUCUGAACACUACUAGGUACAAUAACUACUGUAUCUAUAACUACUAUCUGAACACUACCAGGUACAAUAACUACUGUAUCUAUAACUACUAUCUGAACACUACCAGGUACAAUAACUACUGUAUCUAUAACUACUAUCUGAACACUACCAGGUACAAUAACUACUGUAUCUAUAACUACUAUCUGAACACUACCAGGUACAAUAACUACUGUAUCUAUAACUACUAUCUGAACACUACCAGGUACAAUAACUACUGUAUCUAUAACUACUAUCUGAACACUACCAGGUACAAUAACUACUGUAUCUAUAACUACUAUCUGAACACGACCAGGGUUCUAUACCAGGUACACAACUGCACCUCCCCCAUAUGGACUCUCUCAACACAACAGUUAUCAACCAGUGGGGUCAUAGUUUUGUAUGAACUGACAUAUAGCGCCAGUCCCUUCAGGACCACAAAGGAAAUAAAACUCUUUAUUGUGCUAUCUCUGUCACGUUCGGAGCACCUUUGUACUGUGUGGAUUGUUUUACUGUGCAGUCAAAUCAAUCCCUGU